CGCGACGGAUCUUCGGAUUCCAAGUAGAGUGGCGCACGGGUGAGNUANCACGUGGAUAACCUGCCCUAGAGUCCGGGAUAACACUUCGAAAGGGGUGCUAAUACCGGAUAAGCCCACGCUCUCUUCGGAGGAAGUGGGAAAAGAUUUAUUGCUCUGGGAUGGGUCCGCGGUCCAUUAGCUAGUUGGUGGGGUAAUGGCCUACCAAGGCUGCGAUGGAUAGCUGGUCUGAGAGGAUGAUCAGCCACACUGGAACUGAGACACGGUCCAGACUCCUACGGGAGGCAGCAGUGGGGAAUUUUGCGCAAUGGGGGAAACCCUGACGCAGCAAUACCGCGUGAAGGAUGAAGGCCCUUGGGUCGUAAACUUCUGUCAGAGGGGAAGAAAUACUCGCAAGAGUGCUGACGGUACCCUCAAAGGAAGCACCGGCUAACUCCGUGCCAGCAGCCGCGGUAAUACGGAGGGUGCAAGCGUUGUUCGGAAUUAUUGGGCGUAAAGAGCAUGUCGGCGGACUGUUAAGUCUGGUGUGAAAGCCCGGGGCUCAACCCCGGAAGUGCAUUGGAUACUGGCAGUCUUGAGUAUGGGAGAGGAAAGUGGAAUUCCGAGUGUAGGAGUGAAAUCCGUAGAUAUUCGGAGGAACACCAGUGGCGAAGGCGGCUUUCUGGACCAAUACUGACGCUGAGAUGCGAAAGCGUGGGG
rnacentral:rRNA from 1 species